rnacentral:rRNA from 1 species
UGCUGCAUGGUUGUCGUCAGCUCGUGCCGUGAGGUGUCGGGUUAAGUCCCAUAACGAGCGCAACCCUUAUCGUUAGUUGCCAUCUGGUAAAGCAGGGGACUCUAGCGAAACUGCCACCGUAAGGUGAGAGGAAGGUGGGGAUGACGUCAAAUCAUCAUGCCCCUUAUGUUCUGGGCUACACACGUGCUACAAUGGCCGGUACAGACGGACGCAAAGCCGCGAGGUGGAGCAAAUCCUAAAAAGCCGGUCUCAGUUCGGAUUGCAGGCUGCAAUUCGCCUGCAUGAAGUCGGAAUCGCUAGUAAUCGCAGGUCAGCAUACUGCGGUGAAUACGUUCCCGGGCCUU